UACGAAGGGGGCUAGCGUUGCUCGGAAUCACUGGGCGUAAAGGGUGCGUAGGCGGGUCUUUAAGUCAGGGGUGAAAUCCUGGAGCUCAACUCCAGAACUGCCUUUGAUACUGAGGAUCUUGAGUUCGGGAGAGGUGAGUGGAACUGCGAGUGUAGAGGUGAAAUUCGUAGAUAUCAAGAGGAACACCUGCGGCGAAGGCGGGUUGCUGGGCCGACACUGACGCUGAUGCGCGAAAGCGUGGGGAGCAAACCGG
rnacentral:rRNA from 1 species